rnacentral:rRNA from 1 species
AUUGAACGCUGGCGGCAUGCUUUACACAUGCAAGUCGAACGGUAACAGGUUAAGCUGGCGAGUGGCGAACGGGUGAGUAACGUAUCGGAACGUGCCCAGUCGUGGGGGAUAACGUAGUGAAAAUUACGCUAAUACCGCAUACGAUCUGUGGAUGAAAGCGGGGGAUCGCAAGACCUCGCGCGAUUGGAGCGGCCGAUAUCAGAUUAGGUAGUUGGUGGGGUAAAGGCCCACCAAGCCAACGAUCUGUAGCUGGUCUGAGAGGACGACCAGCCACACUGGAACUGAGACACGGUCCAGACUCCUACGGGAGGCAGCAGUGGGGAAUUUUGGACAAUGGACGCAAGUCUGAUCCAGCCAUUCCGCGUGCAGGAUGAAGGCCCUCGGGUUGCAAACUGCUUUUGUACGGAACGAAAAGGUCUCUCUUAAUACGGGGGACUCAUGACGGUACCGUAAGAAUAAGCACCGGCUAACUACGUGCCAGCAGCCGCGGUAA